UUGACUGUGCUAAGGUAGCAUAAUAAAUUGGCUUUUAAUUGAAGUCGGGAAUGAAAGGGUGUUUGGGGUUAUUCUGUCUUGUUUUUAUUUUUUAAAAAUUACUAAUGGGGUGAAAAUUCCCCAAUUUUAUUUGAUAGACGAGAAGACCCUAAGAGUUAUUACAAUUAAUUAAAAAAUUAAUAAAAGUUUUUGUUGGGGCAACAACUUUGGAAAUAAGAACCAAAGUUAAAUUUAUUUUAAACAUAAAAAUUAUAUUAAAAAUGAAUUUAACUACCUUAGGGAUAACAGCAUAAUUAUAUUUUAGAUUGUGACCUCGAUGUUGGAUUAAGGCCU
rnacentral:rRNA from 1 species